UACGUAGGGUGCAAGCGUUGUCCGGAAUUAUUGGGCGUAAAGAGCUCGUAGGCGGUUUGUCGCGUCUGCUGUGAAAAUCCAGGGCUUAACCCUGGACCUGCAGUGGGUACGGGCAGACUAGAGUGCGGUAGGGGAGAUCGGAAUUCCUGGUGUAGCGGUGAAAUGCGCAGAUAUCAGGAAGAACACCCGGUGGCGAAGGCGGUUCUCUGGGACGGUACUGACGCUGAGACGCGAAGCGUGGGGAGCGAACGG
rnacentral:rRNA from 1 species